rnacentral:tRNA from 1 species
AUAUAGCUUAACAAAAGCAUCUCGCUUACACCGAAAAGAUAUCUGUGAAAUCCAAAUUAUUUCGA